rnacentral:rRNA from 1 species
AUGCUGACGACCGGCGCACGGGUGAGUAACGCGUAUGCAUCCUGGCCCUGACAGGAGGAUAGCCCUAAGAAACUGGGAUUAAUACUCCAUGUAUUAUCAAAUAGGCAUCUAUUACGUAAUAAAGCUACGGCGGUCAGGGAUGGGCAUGCGUGCCAUUAGUUAGUUGGUGAGGUAACGGCUCACCAAUGCAUCGAUGGCUAAGGGUUCUGAGAGGAUGAUCCCCCACACUGGUACUGAGACACGGACCAGAACUCCUACGGGGAGGCAGCAGUGACGAAUAUUGGUCCAUGGGCGCAAGCCUGAAACCAGCCAUGCCGCGUGCAGGAUGACUGUUCUAUGAAUUGUAAACUGCUUUUCUGCGGGAAGAAAUGUACCUACGUAGUAGGUAUUUGCCGGUACUGCAGGAAUAAGCCAUACGGCUAACUCCGUGCCAGCAGCCGCGGUAAUACGGAGGAUGCAAGCGUUAUCCGGAUUCAUUGGGUAUACCGGGUGCGCAGGCGGUGUAUUAAGUCAGUGGGUGAAAUGCUGCGGCUCAACCGUAGACUUGCCAUUGAUACUGGUACACUUGAAAGUAGUUGAGGUAGGCGGAAUGUGUAAUGUACCGGUGAAAUGCUUAGAUAUUACACAGAACACCGAUUGCGAAGGCAGCUUACUAAACUAUGAUUGACGCUGAGGCACGAAAGCGUGGGGAGCGAACAGGAUUAGAUACCCUGGUAGUCCACGCUGUAAACUAUGAUCACUGGUUGUUGGCAAUAUACCGUCAGCGAUUGAGCGAAAGCAUUAAGUGAUCCACCUGGGGAGUACGUCGGCAACGAUGAAACUCAAAGGAAUUGACGGGGGCCCGCACAAGCGGAGGAACAUGUGGUUUAAUUCGAUGAUACGCGAGGAACCUUACCUGGGCUUAAAUGUAGAGUGCAUAGAGUGGAAACAUUCUUUUCCUUCGGGACUCUUUACAAGGUGCUGCAUGGUUGUCGUCAGCUCGUGCCGUGAGGUGUCGGGUUAAGUCCCAUAACGAGCGCAACCCUUGUCGUUAGUUGCUAGCAGGUCAAGCUGAGGACUCUAACGAGACUGCCGGUGUAAACCGAGAGGAAGGUGGGGAUGACGUCAAAUCAGCACGGCCCUUAUGUCCAGGGCUACACACGUGUUACAAUGGCCAGUACAAGGAGCAGCCACCUGGCAACAGGGCGCUAAUCUCAAAAGCUGGUCACAGUUCGGAUCGGAGUCUGCAACUCGACUUCGUGAAGGUGGAUUCGCUAGUAAUCGCGCAUCAGCCACGGCGCGG